GUCCACGCUGUAAACGAUGAGUACUAGGUGUUGGGGGUAUCGACCCCCUCAGUGCCGAAGCUAACGCGAUAAGUACUCCGCCUGGGGACUACGGCCGCAAGGCUAAAACUCAAAGGAAUUGACGGGGGCCCGCACAAGCAGCGGAGCGUGUGGUUUAAUUCGACGCAACGCGAAGAACCUUACCUAGGCUUGACAUGUACGUGGUACGAGCGUGAAAGCGUGAGGACUCGCAAGAGAGCGUACACAGAUGCUGCAUGGCUGUCGU
rnacentral:rRNA from 1 species